rnacentral:rRNA from 1 species
AACAGAGGGUGCGAGCGUUGUACGGAAUCACUGGGCGUAAAGGGUGCGUAGGCGGCCGGAUCAGUCGGAGGUGAAAUCCCGUGGCUCAACCGCGGGGCUGCCUUCGAGACUGUCUGGCUUGAGCGCGGUAGAGGCUGGUGGAAUUCCCGGUGUAGCGGUGGAAUGCGUAGAGAUCGGGAGGAACAUCGGUGGCGUAGGCGGCCAGCUGGGCCGUUGCUGACGCUGAGGCGCGAAAGCGUGGGGAGCAAACAGG